CCUGAAAAUGUAAUUCCAAUGGGAGAGGCCAGAUAUCUUCAGUAUAAAUGUUGCUUCUACCUAUAUUUAUAAAAACUUUAUCAUUGAUAAAAAGUAUUACAAAUAGAUUCAGAAUCCAUGAAACAACUUGAUAUGAUUUCUUUUUGACAGUGUGUCUAAUUUAAGGAUUUUACUCUCACACUGAAGGAGAAGAAAAGAUGCCCAAAUGAUGAACUGGAGUGCAAAAUCUAUUAUGUUACAAUGUUUGCAGUCGUAAACCCAAAGUCUUGAACUGUCUUCACAGAAUUUGUGCUAGAUGUUUGAAUAACAUAUUACUUAUAGGAGGCGGAUCUCCCUGCAUUAUCUGUCCCUUUUGUCGCCAUGAGAUUGAGUUGCACAAAGAUGAAGGACUCCCUAAUGAUACAAACAUUAUGUCUAAACUCCUAUUAAAAGAGCAGCAUGGAAUUCUAACUGCGAUGAAGUAGUUUUAACACCAAAAAACUUGACUUCCCCAAGCUCUUCCUGUGAAUCAUCAAACUGCUUAGUAAUUAUGAUUAUGGAAGUACAAAGAGACUCCACAAGGACUUCCAGUCAAACUGCUGCCUUAGAUUACUAUGCUGACCAUAGCAUUGAGUCAGCAUCUGUGAGUUUGCAGAGUCAGCUGGAUCAAGAUCUCUUUUCCAAGCUAUGCAAUCAUCUGUACCUAUGAUACUGGUAUGGCUGAUAGGAUAUAUAUUUUUUUUUUACUUCGGUUCCCUCCCUGUUGCAAUCUAUUUACUAGUGAUUGAAAAAGUGACCCUAGGUGUUGUAGGUGUGUCUUGUUCCCUGAAGUCUUACUGUUUGUCUCAUGUACGGCUUCUGCCAGUGCCUCUUCCAGGAAAUUUGUGACUACUUUUCAUAAAGUUGAUAUGCAGAAUUUUUUUAAUCAGUUGGUAAAUAUUUAACUGAACCAUAAAAUAACUUAAUCAGACUUUAACCCUUAUGCUAUAAGCAUUUUUAACAGUCUUUAACUUCAAAAAGCUUUCUGAUGAUCUCUUUGAGCUUUCUUUUAGCAUAAAUGUAUUUUUGUUAAAGCGCAAUAAUUGUGUGACUACUAGAGAAAUAACAGCAUGGUGAGUUGUUUUUUUUAACUUUUUUUUUUUACUAAAAAGAUGGUGGCUACUAUUGCCUGUUCCCAAAGUAACAGUUUUAGACCACUGUCACGUGAAUGAAAACCAACUGUGAAGAGAUAUUUGAAGGUUAAAACAACCGUUAAACAAAACCAUUUUUAUCAAAUGCAUGCUCACUGUUUAAAAAACAAAAAAGAUCAGAAAUGCUGCGUGUAAUAUGCUUAAAAAAGUCCCAUUGCACGAUAGUUCAUGUUAUAUAUGAUUAAUUAGAUAGACAGAAAGAAUACCAAUGAAAAACUUGUACAUUUGAGUUGAAUCUUUUCUGAUGAUGAAGGGAGAUAAAGUUACAUUAAAUAUUCUGCUCCAUAAUCAGGAGUUUUUUUCAGGUGAGUUCUGAGUUGCAACAAUUAUGACAAAGAAUCAGGUAGUUGAAUCUUAAAGAGCCAAGUAAAGAACAAUUUCUUCAAGUAAGCUUUAAUAUUUUCAUGAUUUAGUAUAUCUGAAAAAAUAUCUAACAAGUCAGUAAAAAUGAACCUGUUUUCAAAAUUAGAAUACCAAAAGAUGUUUUGUUUCCUUAACAUAGUUCCUGAGCAAAAAUUAUUUUUCUGAAUAUUUGUGUUCAGCCUAUUUGAUACUGUUCCACUGUUUUAUAUGGUUGUACUGAUAACCUACAAAACAUGUUGUACAGUGAAUGACUUGAUAAGGUUUUCAGUAAUUGCUAAGUCCCAAACUAAAAAUGGGUACUUAUAAAGAGAAUUACUUAAUUUGCUACCUAACUCAAGCAUACACAGUUUAAAAUUGAUAAUAAAGCUGUGCAUAUUAAACAUACACAUUGUUUUAGGUUUAAUUUAAAGCUCAAUAAAGGGUUAUUGCUAAAAGGCUUUCACAAUUUUUGUGUUUAAUAACAGGUCUGCUUGAUCUUGAUUUAUUUUGAGGCUUCUCAGUGAAAAACAACAAAAAACAUGGGAUUUUUGUUCAUUUACUUUACCCAAAAGAAUUUGCAAAACAGUAACAACUCUGGACCAGAAAAAUCAGAUCCACUUUGUCUGCAAAGCAUACGUGACUUCAGAGGUAAGUGAUCUAAAGGGAAUAGAACUGCCAGCUUUUUGAAUGACAACUGUCUGUCUACAGAGGUAUGUGCCAUACAUUUGCAGUGAAGAAUGGCUGUCCCACCUAGCCUUCCUUUUCUCUUCUCCUGCAGUAACAUUUGCAGUGAUGUGAAAGAAGCCCCACAAAAUCUUUUGACACAUACUCUUUCUGCCACGCAUCUGACCUGCACCGUGGUUUUGGAGUAGCUUGUGGACACUGAGAUAUGAGGCAAUGAAUUCACCAAACGGUCUCCUCAUUCGAAACCUUACCAGCUUAUCUAAGUACAGGAUACCUGCAAUCUAACUUUCUGCCAAGGUUUGUUCUACCUCUGAACCACUCACGUGCAUGAGAAGGUCUGCAAAUACUGGAAUAUCCUGUUCUUCAGCUGAAUACACAAAUGAUUAAUCAUUAUAGCUAACUACUAUCAUUGAAGAUAUAUUCUUAAUUUGCAUGUAAAGACAGAAAUGUCUACGAAAACAUAAAAAAUUUAGCAAAAUUAUUCAACAAGCAGGCCAAAUAGGCGUGACAAAGAUGUAUUUGAGGAAACAUGGUUGCUCUGCAGCAGGUAGAAAUGACACUGGGAUGUGAAAAAAAUAUAUUUUUACAGAUAUUACUGCCAUGGUAUUUUUAAGAAAUUUAAGUAUUGAGAAAAUGAGAACGUAAUAUGAAGUGGAA